rnacentral:rRNA from 1 species
ACUCAAAGGAAUUGACGGGGGCCCGCACAAGCGGCGGAGCAUGCGGAUUAAUUCGAUGCAACGCGAAGAACCUUACCUGGGUUUGACAUAUACCGGAAAGCUGCAGAGAUGUAGCCCCCGCAAGGUCGGUAUACAGGUGGUGCAUGGCUGUCGUCAGCUCGUGUCGUGAGAUGUUGGGUUAAGUCCCGCAACGAGCGCAACCCUCGUCCUAUGUUGCCAGCACGUAAUGGUGGGGACUCAUAGGAGACUGCCGGGGUCAACUCGGAGGAAGGUGGGGAUGACGUCAAGUCAUCAUGCCCCUUAAGUCCAGGGCUUCACGCAUGCUACAAUGGCCGGUACAAAGAGCUGCAAUACCGCAAGGUUGAGCGAAUCUCAAAAAGCCGGCCUCAGUUCGGAUUGGGGUCUGCAACUCGACCCCAUGAAGUCGGAGUCGCUAGUAAUCGCAGAUCAGCAAUGCUGCGGUGAAUACGUUCCCGGGCCUUGUACACACCGCCCGU